rnacentral:rRNA from 1 species
UAAUACAGAGGGUGCGAGCGUUGUUCGGAAUUAUUGGGCGUAAAGCGCUGGUAGGUGGCUUGAAAAGUCGCGUGUGAAAGCUUCCGGCUCAACCGGAAAAGUGCGCGCGAAACUGGCGAGCUUGAGUGCCGGAGAGGGUCGCGGAAUUCCCGGUGUAGAGGUGAAAUUCGUAGAUAUCGGGAGGAACACCAGAGGCGAAGGCGGCGACCUGGAAGGUAACUGACACUGAGCAGCGAAAGCGUGGGUAGCAAACAGGAUUAGAUACCCUGGUAGUCCACGCCGUAAACGAUGGGUGCUAGCUGUGGCGGGAGUUGACCCCUGCCGUGGCGACGCUAACGCAAUAAGCACCCCGCCUGGGGAGUACGGCCGCAAGGCUAAAACUUAAAGGAAUUGACGG